ACGUAGUUUGUAUUUGAAUAGUUAGAUUAACGUGUUAGUAAUCCAAUUGUAGGCGGUUCGUGUGUGGAUCUCAUCAGCAUAUCGUCGCAAACAGGAAAUCCCCAACCAUAGUGGGCUUGGAGCUGUGAGGGAAUUCGGAGUGGCCACCCGUUCUGAAAGUUUGAUUUUCUUCUGGUGAACUGGACAUCCUUUUUUUUAGGUUUGAAGUUUUGGGUUUUUAAAUGUAAUAAGGCCGCUUAAUUAUUUUUGAUGGUGUUAAUAUGUGUUACUAAGAUAA